rnacentral:tRNA from 1 species
GCUCGGGUAACUCAGCCUGGAUAGAGUGCCACCCUCCUAAGGUGGAAGUCGCAGGUUCAAAUCCUGCCCUGAGCG